UGGGGAAUCUUGCACAAUGGGCGCAAGCCUGAUCCAGCCAUGCCGCGUGAGUGAAGAAGGCCUUCGGGUUGUAAAGCUCUUUUUACCAGGGACGAUAAUGACGGUACCUGGAGAAUAAGCCCCGGCAAACUUCGUGCCAGCAGCCGCGGUAAUACGAAGGGGGCUAGCGUUGUUCGGAAUUACUGGGCGUAAAGCGCACGUAGGCGGAUUGUUAAGUCAGAGGUGAAAUCCCGGAGCUCAACUUCGGAACUGCCUUUGAUACUGGCAAUCUCGAGUCCGGAAGAGGUUAGUGGAAUUCCCAGUGUAGAGGUGAAAUUCGUAGAUAUCGGGAGGAACACCUGUGGCGAAGGCGGCCACCUGGUUAGAUACUGACGCUGAGACGCGAAAGCGUGGGGAGCAAACAGGAUUAGAUACCCCAGUAGUCCCUGAGCGGGCUGGCAAGGCGCAU
rnacentral:rRNA from 1 species